GCGAAAGCAAGCCUAAUACCCGAUACGCUUCAUAGAUGGCAUCCGAAAUGAAGUAAAGGUUUACGGUUAUGGAUGGGGAUGCGUCCGAUUAGCUUGUUGGCGGGGUAACGGCCCACCAAGGCAUCGAUCGGUAGGGGUUCUGAGAGGAAGGUCCCCCACAUUGGAACUGAGACACGGUCCAAACUCCUACGGGAGGCAGCAGUGAGGAAUAUUGGUCAAUGGAGGCAACUCUGAACCAGCCAAGUAGCGUGCAGGAUGACGGCUCUAUGGGUUGUAAACUGCUUUUAUGCGGGGAUAAACUGACUCACGUGUGGGUCAUUGCAGGUACCGCAUGAAUAAGGACCGGCUAAUUCCGUGCCAGCAGCCGCGGCAAUACGGAAGGCUCGGGCGUUAUCCGGAUUUAUUGGGUUUAAAGGGAGCGUAGGCCGCUGUUUAAUCGUGUUGUGAAAUGUCCCGGCUCAACCGUGGCACUGCAGCGCGAACUGUACUACUUGAGUGCGC
rnacentral:rRNA from 1 species